UUUUUCUUUCAUAGAAAGUUCCUUUUUUAUGCCCAAUAAUGAUAAUCACUCACAGUGUGAUAUGAAAUGUGUUUUGUUCAGUGAUUCCAGGAUCUGGUUGUAGCCUCCUUAUGUUAAUUCUCUUCAAUGGUCUAAGUAGUGCAUGUUGUGCUUGGAUGAGAAGAUCGUGCCUAAGACUACUAACUACAAGCUUGAUUUUAAUGGAUUUCUCUCCAAGGGAAGGAAAAGACGCAACAAGUGUCCUUAAAUGUUCCUACAAGAUGCAAAAUUUGACUUGGAUAGCAACCCUUGAUUCUCAGGUGUUAGUAGUAGAGGUGCGACACAGGGACGAUGAGAGGUUUUGGAAGCUUUGAUCUCCACAGGUUCAAACACUAAUCUCAGUUCUCAGAAGCAGCGGUAUUCCUUUUGUUUCGUUCACAUUUCUUUUGUUAUUUAUUUUGUGGUCAUGUUGUGUUUGGUCAUUGAAAAGAAGUCAGAACUUUUAUUUCUGUUAAUUUGGCUUUGCUGAAACUACAUCAUACCAAUAACUAUAUUAGUUUAAUUUUUCUCUUUUAGAAUGUUAACCUGACAUGCCUUAUUACUUGAUUGGUUUAUAUAGUUAGAGGAGAUAUAUAAUAAAAAAGGUUAAAGAAAGUAUAAGGUUAAUUAAUUUAUGCUCUUAUGUUCUUGAUACUACGCCUCUUAGACUGCAGUUUAUAUGUGGUACGUGUUUUUCUUCUAAAUAAUGUCAAUUAUGUAAACUGGAGUUUAGUUUCUCUUUGUUUUGCCAUUAUAGACUACAUUUUUGUUUCUUUUUUUCUGCUGUGUUUUAGUUUAAGAUCUCUUUAUACUGAUUUGGCUGCGAUUUUUGUGAGGAUUUCCAUGAUAGUAGUGAGUUUAUUCUUAUUGGUUUUUUUCUUUUAUAUUCCUGGUGAAUUGGUUAUUGAUACUUACAUCAAUCAACAGUUUUUGAUGCAUUCUAAGUCAUGUGCAUCAACCCAAUAGACAAUAACCAUGAUUGUGCUGGCUGCUGCGAGAAUUAUAUGCUAUAGGGUUCUCCACUUAAAUUGCAAAUUGUCCUGUACCCUAAACUCCAUUUUCAUAAUAACAAUUUUUGAUGUUGAUAAUUGGUUGCAGGGCUUCAGGAUUGAUAAAUCAUUAUUGGAACGUGUUGUUGCUUCAUUAAUCACUCCAUUUUGAUUGGGUUGUUGCUCCCUGUUGUUGUCUAGCAUCCAGAUUUUCUUUGUUUUUUUUAUACUGAUAUAUAUAUAUUCGGGUUUACUUUAUUUAAAUUAAAUGCUUCCAUAUUUACUUGGAAGAUAUUGAUAAAUACCUUUACCUGUAGUCUUGGUUCUCAAUGUUAUAAUUGAUUCUCUUACCUUUCAUAUUGUAGGUUGUUUUGGCUGUUUGAAAUAGGACCAAAAGCAAGUUCUUUUGCUAUUUAAAUUUUAACAUGAGACUGAGAAUGACAAAGGUCAAUGGAUUUAUGUGCAGACUGCAGAAUAGUUGUGAAGGAAACCUAUGAACCCAGGCAAUUAUAUGUUAUAAUGUUUUGACUUUGAUGAUUGCAAUAUUUAUAGGAGUUACUUCUGGGUAUUCUAUGUACUUCUUUGGCAAUUACAGUAAGACUCAUUUUCCUAACAAAAUUACUAUACAGAUUAGGAGUGCCCUUGAAAAUUGAUUUGCUCCCAAUUAAUCUUAAGGUUCCUAUAAAGAGAUAUGUAUGUGUAGUAUAACAUAGAAGAUUAUAGCCUGUA